AAUGUUUCAGUUUCUUCUUCCUGUUAAAUUCAACUAGUUGCCCAACAGAUACAGUUUUCUGUAUGCAAGUGCUCUUUAACAUGCUCCGAUUAAGUACAAUUUUUUGCACUGUAAACAUUAGAUAUUUUCAACCCAAGACAAGCUGGAGCAGCAAUUGAAUGGUUGAUAUUAUGUAACAAAUGUUUAUUCCGAAUCUUGGUGUCCAGGAGCAACUAUGAAGUAUUUUUACAGUUCAAGCUGGACAACUAGGAGAAAUUUUUACUAUUCAAGCUGGAGCAACUAUGAGAUUUGAGCAGGGCACUGAGGAGCUAUGAAGCUGGAGUGAACAUCCCAAUCAGAUCCUGUUGUGAAUGGAGUAAGAAUCUAGUACUUAGCUGACCGUGAUGUAGUGAUCUCAGGUGAAGCUGGAAGCUGAGGAAUCCCUAUCGAGUUCGCAAUGCCUCACAGUCCACGCACAUCUAAAGUGUCAACUGUGACGGGCUCAUACUGAUAAAAAGAUUCAUCAACUCGAUAUUUCAAUUCAAUGAAAAGCCCUUUAUC